rnacentral:rRNA from 1 species
UACAGAGGGGGCAAGCGUUGUUCGGAAUUACUGGGCGUAAAGGGCGCGUAGGCGGCCUGUUAAGUCGAACGUGAAAUCCCCAGGCUCAACCUGGGAACUGCGUCCGAUAUUGGCAGGCUUGAAUCCGGGAGAGGGAUGCGGAAUUCCAGGUGUAGCGGUGAAAUGCGUAGAUAUCUGGAGGAACACCGGUGGCGAAGGCGGCAUCCUGGACCGGUAUUGACGCUGAGGCGCGAAAGCCAGGGGAGCAAACGGG